rnacentral:rRNA from 1 species
UACGUAGGGGGCAAGCGUUAUCCGGAUUUACUGGGUGUAAAGGGAGCGUAGACGGCGCGGCAAGUCUGAAGUGAAAGGCAGGGGCUUAACCCCUGAACUGCUUUGGAAACUGCCAUGCUAGAGUGCUGGAGAGGUAAGUGGAAUUCCUAGCGUAGCGGUGAAAUGCGUAGAUAUUAGGAGGAACACCAGUGGCGAAGGCGGCUUACUGGACAGUAGCUGACGUUGAGGCUCGAAAGCGUGGGGAGCAAACAGG